AAGUCGUAACAAGGUAACCGUAGGUGAACCUGCGGUUGGAUCAUUAAUAUAAUGACGCUUUUGCAGCUGAGGAGGACUGUAUGGUCUAACUCGCUGUAAAAGUGACUAACCAUUUGUGCACUGUGAAGUAUUUUGGGUCUAGCGUUAAACCUAGGCCCUGACAUUUGUAAAACCAUUUUUAAACUUGACUAAAAUUUUAAAUAUAAAAAUUUAAAACUAUAGACAACGGAUCUCUUGGUUCUC
rnacentral:misc_RNA from 1 species